AUUGAACGCUGGCGGCAUGCCUUACACAUGCAAGUCGAACGGCAGCACGGGAGCAAUCCUGGUGGCGAGUGGCGAACGGGUGAGUAAAGUAUCGGAACGUGCCCAGUCGUGGGGGAUAACGUAGCGAAAGUUACGCUAAUACCGCAUACGAUCUAUGGAUGAAAGCGGGGGAUCGCAAGACCUCGCGCGAUUGGAGCGGCCGAUAUCAGAUUAGGUAGGUGGUGGGGUAAAGGACCACCAAGCCGACGAUCUGUAGCCGGUCUGACAGUACGACCAGCCACACUGGGCCUUAGACACGGCCCAGACUCCUACGGGAGGCAGCAGUGGGGAAUUUUGGACAAUGGGCGAAAGCCUGAUCCAGCCAUGCCGCGUGCAGGAUGAAGGCCUUCGGGUUGUAAACUGCUUUUGUACGGAACGAAAAGGUUUGGGCUAAUAAGCUGAGCUCAUGACGGUACCGUAAGAAUAAGCACCGGCUAACUACGUGCCAGCAGCCGCAGUAA
rnacentral:rRNA from 1 species